rnacentral:rRNA from 1 species
AGGUCACCGCUAUUGGAAUACGAUUAAGGCAUGCGAGUCGAGAGUCUUAGGGACUCGGCAGACGGCUCAGUAACACGUAGAUAACCUGCCCUUAGGUGGGGGAUAACCUCGAGAAAUUGAGAAUAAUACCCCAUAGGUCUAGGAUGCUGGAAUGCUUCUAGAUUCAAAGUUCCGGCGCCUAAGGAUGGGUCUGCGGCCUAUCAGGUUGUAGUGAGUGUAACGGACUCACUAGCCGACGACGGGUACGGGCCCUGAGAGGGGGAGCCCGGAGAUGGACUCUGAGACACGAGUCCAGGCCCCAAGGGGCGCAGCAGCUACGAAAACUUCACAAUGCGGGAAACCGCGAUGAGGGAAUUCCAAGUGCUGCAGUAUAACUGUAGCUGUUUAUUUGCCUAAGAAGCAUGUAGAGUAAGGGGUGGGUAAGACUGGUGCCAGCCGCCGCGGUAAUACCAGCAGCCCGAGUGGUGACCACUUUUAUUGGGCCUAAAGCGUCCGUAGCCUGUUUGGUAAACCCUUGGGUAAAUCGAGCAGCUCAACUGUUCGACUUCUGAGGAGACUGCCAGACUUGGGACCGGGAGAGGUUGGAAGUACUUUUGGGGUAGGGGUGAAAAUCCUGUAAUCCCAAAAGGACUACCGGUGGCGAAGGCGUCCAACUAGAACGGGUCCGACGGUAAGGGACGAAGCCCUGGGUCACGAACCGGAUUAGAUACCCCGGGUAGUCCAGGGUGUAAACGCUGCAGGCUUGGUGUUGGGGGUCCUACGAGGGCGUCCAGUGCCGGAGAGAAGUUGUUUAAGCCUGCCGCCUGGGGAGUACGGUCGCAAGACUGAAACUUAAAGGAAUUGGCAGGGGAGCACAGCAACGGGUGGAGCGUGCGGUUUAAUUGGAUUCAACGCCGGAAAACUCACCGGAGGCGACGGUUACAUGAAGGCCAGGCUGAUGACCUUGCCCGAUUUUCCGAGAAGUGGUGCAUGGCCGCCGUCAGUUCGUACCGCAAGGCGUUCUGUUAAGUCAGAUAACGAACGAGACCCCUCCCCCUAGUUGCCAUCAGAUCCUCAGGGAUGCUGGGCAGGUACUUGUACCUUUGCUCUAGGGGUACCGCUGGUGCUAAAUCAGAGGAAGGAAGGGGCAACGGUAGGUCAGUAUGCCCCGAAUCCUCCGGGCUACACGCGCGCUACAAAGGCUAGGACAAUGAGUUUCAAUACCGAAAGGUAAAGGUAAUCUCAAAACCUAGUCAUAGUUCAGAUUGAGGACUGUAACUCGUCCUCAUGAAGCUGGAAUCCGUAGUAAUCGCGGAUCAACAUUCCGCGGUGAAUAUGCCCCUGCUCCUUGCACACACCGCCCGUCAAACCAUCUGAGUUGGGUCUGAGUGAGGAUUCUCCUUCGUGGAGCGUCCGAACUUAGGUUCAGUAAGGAGGGUUAAGUCGUA